AAGCCUACGGGGGGCAGCAGUGAGGAAUAUUGGUCAAUGGGCGUAAGCCUGAACCAGCCAAGUCGCGUGAGGGAUGAAGGUUCUAUGGAUCGUAAACCUCUUUUAUAAGGGAAUAAAGUGUGGGACGUGUCCUGUUUUGUAUGUACCUUAUGAAUAAGGAUCGGCUAACUCCGUGCCAGCAGCCGCGGUAAUACGGAGGAUCCGAGCGUUAUCCGGAUUUAUUGGGUUUAAAGGGUGCGUAGGUGGUUAAUUAAGUCAGCGGUGAAAGUUUGUGGCUCAACCAUAAAAUUGCCGUUGAAACUGGU
rnacentral:rRNA from 1 species